UGCACCUGUGGCAUAUAGAGGUUCCCAGGCUAGGGAUCUAAUUGGAGCUGUAGCCACUGGCCUAGUCACAGUCACAGCAAUGCCAGAUCCUAGCCGAGUCUGCAAUCUACACCACAACUCACGGCAAUGCCAGAUCCUUAACCCACUGAGCCAGGGAUCCUCAUCAGAUUCAUUUCUGCUGUGCCACAAUGGGAACUCCAGCAUCCUGUCUUAAUAAAUCUAUUUCUUGCCUAUCACUUUGUCUCAUUCCUUCUGCAUUGAGGCACAAAGAACCUGAACCUCAGUAUGUCCAGACACUGAGUGAGUGGUUCUAAUUUAAAAACUGUGGGUUCAGGUCCCAAUCAGGGUUUAGGAUGGUUUUGAGUCCUGGUUCGUGGGUUCAAGCCCCAAUCUGGGUUCCGGCUAGGUUCAAGCCAUAAAUGCAGUCAGUUUUAGUCUCUUGGCCAAAGAGACAAGAUGGAAAGAGGGGAGCUUGGUAGCAGGAAUCCAAAGGGCUGGGGAGCAGGGGUGGAUGGAGCAGUGGGCUCUGGUGGACACCCUCACUGCCACCUGUCUUAGCAGGAUGCUCCCUUUUUACAUGACAUGCAAUUGUGUCCCAUCAAAAAGCAAGUCUCCAUCCCCAGACCAGGCAGUUUCUGAGCACAAGACUCCUCACCCUGCCAGCAGUCCCACUCCCGGAGCUGUUGGUAGUGGGGCAGGAGGCUGAGUCCUCCCUGCAAAUCCCUGCACCUCUUCCCCCCAGCAAAGCACUAGCUGGCAAUUAGGAAUCUAGCAAAGCGCCCUCCUGUUCAGACCCAGGCGUGGAUGUGGUCCAGUAAAGACCCUCCACUGAGCAAAUGGCUGGUCUUGUUUUUAAUUCAAGUAUUAAAAUAGCAGUCAUUUGGCUGCGAGCAGUGUCGUUAGCCCUGAGGGUCAGAGCAGACUGGAGUUCAAUGUGAGUCUCUAAACAAUUUCUUCUCUUACAUAAUCACUUUUCUUAGAGGCCAACCAGGCAUAUAAAUAUCACAUCAUGCCAUGGCUUGGCAAGUUUUUAUCAGCAUCAACUCAGGCACCUUCUAGUAGCGCUGGGCCCCAGGCUCUAAAAAAUGGCUGGUCACUGCAGCCAAGCCUGUGAUGACCAUGCUGGACAGGAGUCUCCAGGGCCGAGGUCGGGAGGGAGGUCAGGUCGGAGGUCAGCCCCUCCUUGAAAGCCUGUGAUGAUGUACUCCCCCUGAUUUGUAGGAAGCGGUGUCAGAAAUACCAGCCUGGCCAGGGGCACUUGGGGCAUAAUCAUCCUUCACACAGAGCUUCCAUCUCCCAUCUUUUAAUACGCACUUCUCCAGAUGAAGGCCAGGAUGCCACACAGGGAGCUCCCAGGUCAGUGACUUAUCUGAGUGCGAGAAACUCACAUGAACCCAAAACAGAGUUCAGAACAGCAGAGGGCACAGUAAAGGUGCAGGAGGGAAAUUGAAGGAGGUGACUAAGCAGCAGAUGAAUCAGAGAAGAGAGAGCAAAGGCACAGCUGGGGGUGGAGGAGUUCCCUCUUCCUGUCACUCAGAUGAAGGCUGGGGAGAGAGGGGAGGUGAGUUGAGGGCAGGCAGGGCUGGAGAACUGGGAGCAACUCUUCCAGAGCACUGGGAACCCAGGGGAGGCUUGUUAGGAAUCAGAUGGAACCUAGGAAAUAGCUCUUAGCCCAGCUCUUCCUGUUUGUUCCCAGCUUUGGGCUGGAUCUGAAUGUCUGGACCCAGAGGCAGCAGAACCACCCACCCAGCUUCAUCACUGCACAAAGUUUGUGAGGUCUGGGCUGAGAACUAAAACCCCAGCCCCAUCUAGAUGACCCAUCUAUCUCCAGGCCUCUAACCUCCCCAGGGGAUAGCUGUUUAGCUAUUGGAAUAGAUACAAAUAUCAUAUCUAUAUCUCUAUCUAUAUCUAUAUGCAUGAAAUAAACAUAGACAUUUAACAAAUAGAGAGAGAGGAGGACGCACAGGUCAAGAAAGAUACACAAGGACACCCACCUAAUAGAUUUUAAGCAGGGAGGGGGUCUGUCUCUCACAUAAUGAAAUCAAAGUUCAGAGAAGGUUGAAUAAUAGCGUGAGCAAAACUCAGUAAUUCUGACCUGUCUCAAAAUCCCAUGCUUCAGCCACUUACUAGAGCAACAUAUACCCAAGAAGUUGUCCCAGUGGGUGUGAGAUGGUCUAUCCCAGGAACAGAACUUCCACAAGAAAGAUGCUAACUGCCAUCAAUCAUGCCCACAACUACCCACAAUUUGCUUACUCACUGUAACCCUGUCUUCAUUUAUAUAUAGGACUUAAGCACUUCAGUUAGUCUCUAACCGUAGUCAUUCCCUCUGCCUGGCAGAAACUUUCUAGAAAGGCUCCCCACGUUGCUAAAUCAUCAAAGCCUGGGCUAUUUACUCAUCCUCCCCUUCAGUGAGAGCCUGGCAGGGAUUCAUAGUCAUCUGGUGGCCCUGAAAUACCUGGGCUGUGGCAGGGGUCCUGAGCAAGGUCAGUAAGAAGCACAUCAAGAUGGUUGUAUCUGUUUAUCACCACGUGCACAACCCCAUUGCUACCCCUAGGCUGGUGAGAUCUGGGGAAACUACCUACAUAUAUUAGAUCAAACUCUCCUAAAUCUAUUCAUUUUCACUUGAUCACACUAAAGUUUCUUUGUAUCCUGUCUACCCAUUUCUGGCCCUUGAAAUUUGCCAGCACAUUUUCUAGAUGAAUACCAUUUUAUUUCCUGACAAUCCGUAAUACCUUAAAUUUUCGAGAUUAAAAAAAUAUUUUAUGUGAAUAUAAAUAUUUAAUAAAAGUAGUCUCAGAAAAAUGCCCCCAGGAACUUCCAAUGCUAACAUUUGUGUUUCCAGGAAAGUACGAUCAGGUAUAAUUAUGUUUUAUUUCAACCCUUAGAAAUUACAAAAUUCUAGUGUCAUUUCCUUAUGAUUAUUUUUAUGCUGUAUUUCUUGACAUAGGGCCUGGUCAAAUGCUUAUGUGAAGAUUCCUAUUGUCAAGGCUCCCUGUAUCCUCAUACUUAUCUGUACAACAUUUGCAAAAGCCAUUUGAGAACAGGACAGUUGUUAUGCUUGUUAUAGCAGAGAUGCUCCUAGCGGGUUAGAGGGAGUCAUCCUUGUUCAUGGCAAUGUUUGUGAAAAGAGUGUGCCUGGUGCUAACUGUCUAAUCAGGAAUGGAGUGCAGUUCCAGCUGUGCCGACUGGUUGCCUAACCUUGGUGUCCAUCCUCUUGGGACCUCAGUUUCCUGUCCACAGUAGAACGAGAGGGCAGCACCAUCUCUAUGCAAGGUGAUAUGCAUAGAUGACCUUGCAAGGUCAUCUAUGCAUCUCAUAAACAGACUUUGCAAGGUCAUCCUGCUGGUUAGGAACAAUUAGAUAGUGGGUAUCCUGGCUUCUGAUUCACUUCUCAAGCUCCAAAAUACUAGCAUUGAGUUCCCACUACAUCUCUGGGCAGGGGUCCACUUCUUUUUCACUGACUUGCUAGGUUUAUCACAUACAUGCCUGCCUGUGUGGCACACCUGGACAGUGGUCCUUACAGAGUGCAGGUAAGGACAGACAGCCCAUCAGAACUGGUGGAUUUUUAGUCAGCAUGGACUUGAUUUCCUCAACAUCCAUCUUCGCUCCAGCUCGAUGGAGCCUUGAUUUACCCAAACAGCCACCUGCUAAUUUCUCAGGUAAUCUGGCAUCUCUCAGUCACACCUCAAAGAAACCCAAUGAGGACAUCUGACAGACCUGCUUUCAAAGGUAAAUUGGAAACCUACUGUCUUUCUCAGUGAUUACCAGGUAGAAGGCUCAGGGACACAGCUGUCACUUUCUAACCACUGACCAGCAAGUGACUCUUCCAAUAUUCCAGCUGUUUCUUCCCUAUGAGAUAUUGAAAUUGUCUUUUCAUUUGGAAAUCAUUAACAAAGGGCAAAUAAUGUGGUAUAUAUACACAAUGGAAUACUACUUAGCCAUAAAAAAGAAUGACAUAAUGCCAUUUGCAGCAACAUGGAUGGAAAUAGAGAAUCUCAUCCUGAGUGAAAUGAGCCAGAAAGACAAAGACAAAUACCAUAUGAUAUCACUUAUAACUGGAAUCUAAUAUCUAGCACAAAUGAACAUCUCCUCAGAAAAGAAAAUCAUGGACUUGGAAAAUAGACUUGUGGCUGCCUGAUGGGAGAGGGAGGGAGUGGGAGGGAUCGGGAGCUUGGGCUUAUUAGACAUUCCUUGGAAUAGAUUUACAAGGAGAUCCUGCUGAGUAGCAUUGAGAACUAUGUCUAGAUACUCAUAUUGCAACAGAACAAAGGGUGGGGGAAAAAUGUAUACAUGUAAGGAUAACUUGAUCCCCUUGCUGUACAGUGGGAAAAAAAAUAAAUUAUAAAAAAAAAAACAAAGAAACAAAGGGCAUCUAAGACACUGUGAAGAAGAUAUUCUAAAAUUUUCUUUGAGGCAUCUUCAAGCAGAAAUUAUGUUUCUCCAUGACCUCUUCCUAAGAAGUGACCUGGAACAAAUAUUUCAACUUGUGGAAUCAAUUUCCUUUCAGACCCAUGACAACCCCAAGGACACAGGUUUGGAGAAUCUUCUCCUAUGGUGUCAUUCGGUAAGAAAUUCUCUCAAUUCCAGAUACUCUAUUGAUUAUAUGGUUUCGGAUCAGCCAGCUGGUUUGGGUGACAGGUGAUUCUCACCCUUGAAUUACCCUUGUAUUUUGCUGGCUCUAAAAAACUUUAGAAAGGUUAUGAAUAUUAAACAGAGACCUGGGUGGAGAAAUUCUCAUGCUAGAGACCACAUACUUGUUUAUCAAGGUCUCUUUGUGUUUUACUCAGGCGUGUAUUUGCCGGGCAGUCUUUUUAUUGCUU
rnacentral:lncRNA from 1 species